rnacentral:rRNA from 1 species
AGCUCGUGUCGUGAAAAGUUGGGGUUAAGUCCCCGCAAAGAGCGCAACCCUUUUUCUUUGUUGCCAGCAUUCAGUUGGGCACUCUAAGGGGAAUUCCCGUGACAAACCGGAGGAAGGUGGGGAUGACGUCAAAUUAUUAUGCCCCUUAUGACCUGGGGUACACACGUGGUACAAUGGACAGAACCAAGGGCUGCAAGACCGCAAGGUUUAGCCAAUCCCAUAAAUCUGUUCUCAGUUCGGAUCGCAGUUUGCAACUUGACUGCGUGAAGCUGGAAUCGCUAGUAAUCGCGGAUCAGCAUGCCGCGGUGAAUACGUUCCCGGGCCUUGUACACACCGCCCGUCACACCACGAGAGUUUGCAACACCCGAAGUCGGUGAGGUAACACUUUAGUG